GCCUGGGUGGCUCAGUCGGUUAAGCAUCUGACUUCAGCUCAGGUCAUGAUCUCACAGUUUGUGAGUUCGAACCCCGCAUCAGGCU
rnacentral:tRNA from 1 species